rnacentral:rRNA from 1 species
CUGUGAGGCAUGCUGGAGGUAUCAGAAGUGCGAAUGCUGACAUAAGUAACGAUAAAGCGGGUGAAAAGCCCGCUCGCCGGAAGACCAAGGGUUCCUGUCCAACGUUAAUCGGGGCAGGGUGAGUCGACCCCUAAGGCGAGGCCGAAAGGCGUAGUCGAUGGGAAACAGGUUAAUAUUCCUGUACUUGGUGUUACUGCGAAGGGGGGACGGAGAAGGCUAUGUUGGCCGGGCGACGGUUGUCCCGGUUUAAGCGUGUAGGCUGGUUUUCCAGGCAAAUCCGGAAAAUCAAGGCUGAGGCGUGAUGACGAGGCACUACGGUGCUGAAGCAACAAAUGCCCUGCUUCCAGGAAAAGCCUCUAAGCAUCAGGUAACAUCAAAUCGUACCCCAAACCGACACAGGUGGU